rnacentral:rRNA from 1 species
CCUGAUGCAGCCAUGCCGCGUGUGUGAAGAAGGCCUUCGGGUUGUAAAGCACUUUCAGUUGUGAGGAAAAGUUAGUAGUUAAUACCUGCUAGCCGUGACGUUAACAACAGAAGAAGCACCGGCUAACUCCGUGCCAGCAGCCGCGGUAAUACGGAGGGUGCGAGCGUUAAUCGGAAUUACUGGGCGUAAAGCGCACGCAGGCGGUUUGUUAAGCUAGAUGUGAAAGCCCCGGGCUCAACCUGGGAUGGUCAUUUAGAACUGGCAGACUAGAGUCUUGGAGAGGGGAGUGGAAUUCCAGGUGUAGCGGUGAAAUGCGUAGAUAUCUGGAGGAACAUCAGUGGCGAAGGCGACUCCCUGGCCAAAGACUGACGCUCAUGUGCGAAAGUGUGGGUAGCGAACAGGAUUAGAUACCCUGGUAGUCCACACCGUAAACGCUGUCUACUAGCUGUGUGUGUCUUUAAGACGUGCGUAGCGAAGCUAACGCGCUAAGUAGACCGCCUGGGGAGUACGGCCGCAAGGUUAAAACUCAAAUGAAUUGACGGGGGCCCGCACAAGCGGUGGAGCAUGUGGUUUAAUUCGAUGCAACGCGAAGAACCUUACCUACACUUGACAUGCAGAGAACUUUCUAGAGA